CCAUCAUACAUGUGCAUAUUAUAAACCGGUAGAUGCAUUUAAUUCCUGGUUCUACUGAUAAUGUAGGCAAUAACUAAUAAUACAUAUUUUACGCUAAACAUAUUUGUAAGUACUGUUGUUGUUAUUUUUGUCGAAUUGGUUAUAGCGAAUUUAAUAUUGUGUCUGUUACAGAACGAGGGUCUAUAAUUAGUCACCGUGAAAUUCAUUAGUAACAAGAGCCUAGGGAAACCAAAACAAAUGUGGAAGAACUAGGAGGAGGAUCAGAUUGGAAGGCGCGAGUAUCGGAUCGAGAUGGACGGGCUGAAUGUAUGACGGGAUAGUCCUAGAGGUCAUUUUUUAACCCAAAAAAGAAGAACAAGAAGUUACGUCCUUUUACUUGUUACUUUUAGAACUUUAGCGGCCAAGAGCCCCUUUUGGUCCCUAAAUCAAAAUUAGCUCGACCUUAAGGAUUUUAAUUAUUGCUUUGUUGGCGGAUCGAGUUGAUACAAGUUCAAGUUCAAUAUAAAUUCCAUCAUGUCGACGCAAGUGGCGGGUGUUUUUUUUAGCUUUGAACACUCCUACAGAUUCCUCAAAUGAAGCUAGGGCGGUGAGAUUGUUUAUGUUCACGAUGCAAGCGUUAAAGAUAUUAUGCCGUUUGUGUGUUCAAACUUUCAGUUCGUUUUACCAUUUUCACGCUCAAAUUGUAUCCGUUCUUCGAAAGAAUUAUAAUAAUAUGGUUUUAGUAUAUUACAGUAUUGUUUAGCUGUAAAGAAUAUUUCUAUGACAUGAACAGUUAACUCUAUAGCAGUGACGAAACUCUCGUUCUCUAUGAAUGUAUUAUUUUAGUCCCGCCAUCAAAACUAAAGCCGUUUAAAAUCGGUAUAAGUGCGUAUACGAAUUUCAUUGCACGGAUUAUAAUGUUCAUAAUUAAUUUUAAUAAUCAUUGCCAUUAAGUUUAUUCGUAGAGUUUGUGUAUAGUAUUUGAAUUUUCCAUAAAAUCGCAAUAAAUAACGGGAUUCAUAUCCGGUUCCGCUUCCGAAUUCUCUAACCUCAUUGAAUGUUUCGAAAACCGUAGCAAUUUGUUUGUUGCCG